AUGUCCAUGGAUUGCUUCAUCCUCGCGUUCGCGCUGCCCGUGGUCUACAUCACCAGCAUCUACAGCACGGCCGUGAUGGUCAGCAUUUUCAUCGACCAGGUGCGCAGGCCCAACAGCAUGGGCUCCAUCGUCGCGUUCUCGUUCGUACUCAUUAUCUGGGUCACCUUCAUCGCCGGUGCGUGCACGCUCUUGUGCUGCUUCACCGUCUCGCUGCCGGCGGUGCGUCGGUGCCUGGCCUCCGUCCCCGGGGCACUCCGUGGCGCGGGCCGACUUCUCUGCCUUCCGUCCGGUGCUAGCGCCGGGCUACGGCGCGGAAGCGACGGCGGCGGCGGCAGCGCUCUGCCGCUGGACCAGACACCGAGUCACAUGCCCGUGCUGGCCCGGGAGCAGCCGGUGCAUGGUGGCGCGCGGGUGGCGCCGGCGUAUGACAUCCUGGCGUACGAGCAGCCGGAGGGCGCCGGCGGGUCGAAGUGCGCGGUCUGCCUCGGAGAGGUGGAGAAGGGGGACACAGUGAAGCGGCUGCCGGUGUGCCUGCACAUGUUCCACUAG
rnacentral:rRNA from 1 species